UCUGGUUGAUCCUGCCAGUAGUCAUAUGCUUGUCUCAAAGAUUAAGCCAUGCAUGUCUAUGCACAAACUGAUUAAUUGUGAAGCCGCGAAUGGCUCAUUACAACAGCCAUUGUUUACUGGAUAUAUCAUUACUACAUGGAUAACUGUGGUAAUUCUACAGCUAAUACACGCUUCAAAGCCCCGACGUCAAGGAGGGGUGCGUUUGUUACUUCAAAUCAAUCGGACUUCGGUCUGAAAUAAAGUGAGAUUGAACAAUUCAGCUGAUCGCAUGGUCUUGUACCGGCGACAUAUCCUUCAAAUGUCUGCCUUAUCAACUUUCGAUGGUAGAUUAUGCGCCUACCAUGGUUGUAACGGGUAACGGAGAAUCAGGGUUUGAUUCCGGAGAGGGAGCCUGAGAAAUGGCUACCACAUCCAAGGAAGGCAGCAGGCACGCAAAUUACCCACUCCCGGCACGGGGAGGUAGUGACGAAAAAUAACAAGCUGGUCUCUAUGAGUUCCGGCAUUGUAAUGGGAACAAUUUAAACCAUUUAUCGAGUAUCUAUUGGAGGGCAAGUCUGGU
rnacentral:rRNA from 1 species